AAGGCCAUCCUGUGAGGUGAGGUGCCACCAGUGUUCCGUCUGAAGAAGCGGAAAAUGGAUGACGUCACUGAGGGAGAGGAUCAAGUACACCCUGUUUUGCAGCCUCCCGAAGCUAGGGAUGAAAAAGAUGUUGAGAUGGUGGAGUUGCCCAGUGCAGUCGGAAUGGGAGAGGAGGAAAUGGAAGAAGCUGCAAAGCAGUAUGCCAGACUUUGGUCUGAGGAGGAAAGUUCCAAGCUUGAGGAACUAGAGAAAGAUGACA